rnacentral:rRNA from 1 species
AUGGCGGGCAUCUCCGGCAGCGGUAGUGACCUGCAGGAAAAAGGCGACAACGAGAGUGUUCAAUUCGAUCCAUCACCAUGGAUCGGUCCCUGCAGGAGAGAGAAGAUGAGGAAGAGAGAGAGAGAAGGAAGGAGAGGAGGGAGAAAGAGAGAGGGAGGUACGAUGGUGAAUGCACUGGACUCUUCAAGAUCAAGGGCACCAACAGCAAAGGCCGAGUGCAUCCAUCGACAGCAUGCCCAAUGUCCGGAUUCACUGAGCAGUACAACCGGAGACGUUGUAGGCUGCCUGCAGGUCUGGAAACCAGACAACAUCUCUGAAACCCACUAUCUUCUUAUGCAUGAAUUUCUGCUCAGUUUGGCUACAUCUAAUUUGUUAUCGUUAAUCCUAUUCCAUAACGCAAAGUUGCAAACAUCCUGUUUUUUCAUCGAGAGGAAGAACAUUAAGAAUUUUCGCACAUUCUGUUGUAGCAAUAUUGACUGUAUGAAUACCAGUAAUGUGUUUGGCAGUUUGUUCUUGUGGCUUCCAAAAAACCUGGAAUGUUUGUUCUGCUGGUACAACUCUCUUUGGCUAGGACAUUUUGGCUUCAAAUAA